rnacentral:rRNA from 1 species
CCUACGUGUGGCAGCAGUGGGGAAUAUUGGGCAAUGGGCGCAAGCCUGACCCAGCAACGCCGCGUGAAGGAAGAAGGAUUUCGGGUUGUAAACUUCUUUUGUCAGGGAAGAGUAUAAGACGGUACCUGACGAAUAAGCCACGGCUAACUACGUGCCAGCAGCCGCUGUAAUACGUAGGUGGCAAGCGUUGUCCGAAUAUACUGGGUGUAAAGGGCGUGUAGCCGGGUUGACAAGUCAGAUGUGAAAUCCUGCGGCUUAACCGCAGAACUGCAUUUGAAACUGUUGAUCUUGAGUACUGGAGAGGCAGACGGAAUUCCUAGUGUAGCGGUGAAAGGCGUAGAUAUCUGGAGGAACAUCAGUGGCGAAGGCGACUAUCUGGCACAUAACUGACGCUGAGGAGCGAAAGCGUGGGUAGCAAACAGGAUUAGAUACCCUUGUAGUC